AGAGUUUGAUCAUGGCUCAGGAUGAACGCUGGCGGUAUGCGUAACACAUGCAAGUCGAACGAAGUUUUUCGGAACUUAGUGGCGGACGGGUGAGUAACGCGUGAGAAUCUGCCUUAAGGAUUGGGACAACAGUGGGAAACCGCUGCUAAUACCAAAUAUGCCUUUUAGUGAAACGGGUAAAACCGCCUUAAGAUGAGCUCGCGUCUGAUUAGCUAGUUGGUGUGGUAAGAGCGCACCAAGGCAACGAUCAGUAGCUGGUCUGAGAGGACGACCAGCCACACUGGGACUGAGACACGGCCCAGACUCCUACGGGAGGCAGCAGUGAGGAAUUUUCCGCAAUGGGCGAAAGCCUGACGGAGCAAUACCGCGUGAGGGAGGAAGGUUCUUGGAUUGUAAACCUCUUUUCUCAGAGAAGAAUAAUGACGGUAUCUGAGGAAUAAGCAUCGGCUAACUCCGUGCCAGCAGCCGCGGUAAUACGGAGGAUGCAAGCGUUAUCCGGAAUGAUUGGGCGUAAAGGGUCUGUAGGUGGUUGUUCAAGUCUGCUGUUAAAGCGUCUGGCUUAACCAGAUAAAGGCGGUGGAAACUGAACGACUAGAGUGCGGUAGGGGUAGAGGGAAUUCCCAGUGUAGCGGUGAAAUGCGUAGAUCUUGGGAAGAACACCUGUGGCGAAAGCGCUCUACUGGACCGCGACUGACACUGAUGGACGAAAGCUAGGGGAGCGAAUGGGAUUAGAUACCCCUGUAGUCC
rnacentral:rRNA from 1 species